rnacentral:rRNA from 1 species
GACGAACGCUGGCGGCGUGCCUAAUACAUGCAAGUAGAACGCAGUUGCGAACGGGUGAGUAACGCGUAGGUAACUGCCUGGUAGCGGGGGAUAACUAUUGGAAACGAUAGCUAAUACCGCAUACUACCAGAUGGACCUGCGUUUUAUUAGCUAGUUGGUGGGGUAACGGCUCACCAAGGCAACGAUACAUAACCGACCUGAGAGGGGGUACGGCCACACUGUGAAUGAGGAACGGCCCAGACUCCUACGGGAGGCAGCAGUAGGGAAACUUCGGCAAUGGACGGAAGUCUGGCCAAGCAACGCCGCGUGAGUGGAGAAGGUUUUCGGAUCGUAAAGCUCUGUUGUAAGGGAAGCGGUAUCUUACCAGAAAGGGACGGCUAACUACGUGCCAGCAGCCGCGGUAAUAC